UACGUAGGGUGCGAGCGUUACUCGGAAUCACUGGGCGUAAAGCGUGCGUAGGCGGUUGGUUAAGUCUGCUGUGAAAGCCCUGGGCUCAACCUGGGAACUGCAGUGGAUACUGGCCAGCUCGAGUGUGAUAGAGGAUGGUGGAAUUCCCGGUGUAGCGGUGAAAUGCGUAGAGAUCGGGAGGAACACCAGUGGCGAAGGCGGCCAUCUGGAUCAACACUGACGCUGAGGCACGAAAGCGUGGGGAGCAAACAGGG
rnacentral:rRNA from 1 species